AAUCCAUUAUUAACGUUUUAACUUUAAACCGUCGCUUCUGGCCAAAAUACAAGUCCAUCAUACAUAACUCUUUGUCCAGUGAAAAA